CCCAGGGCUUGCGCCCUGGGCCAGAUUCUUGCGCGUCUCCGGCGCU
rnacentral:sRNA from 1 species